rnacentral:rRNA from 1 species
GAUGAACGCUAGCGGCAGGCUUAAUACAUGCAAGUCGAGGGGCAGCAUGACUGUAGCAAUACAGUUGAUGGCGACCGGCAAACGGGUGCGGAACACGUACAGAACCUUCCUUCGAGCGGGGAAUAGCCCAGAGAAAUUUGGAUUAAUACCCCAUAGUAGUACGGAGUGGCAUCACUUUGUAAUUAAAGAUUUAUCACUUGAAGAUGGCUGUGCGGCUGAUUAGGUAGUUGGCGGGGUAACGGCCCACCAAGCCUGCGAUCAGUAACUGGUGUGAGAGCACGACCAGUCACACGGGCACUGAGACACGGGCCCGACUCCUACGGGAGGCAGCAGUAAGGAAUAUUGGUCAAUGGACGAAAGUCUGAACCAGCCAUGCCGCGUGGAGGAUGAAGGUCCUCUGGAUUGUAAACUUCUUUUAUAUGGGACGAAAAAAGGCUUUUCUAAGUCGUCUGACGGUACCAUAUGAAUAAGCACCGGCUAACUCCGUGCCAGCAGCCGCGGUAACAC